AGAUUGAACGCUGGCGGCAUGCCUUACACAUGCAAGUCGAACGGCAGCACGGGAGCAAUCCUGGUGGCGAGUGGCGAACGGGUGAGUAAUAUAUCGGAACGUGCCCAGUCGUGGGGGAUAACGCAGCGAAAGCUGUGCUAAUACCGCAUACGAUCUAUGGAUGAAAGCGGGGGAUCGCAAGACCUCGCGCGAUUGGAGCGGCCGAUAUCAGAUUAGCUAGUUGGUGGGGUAAAAGCCUACCAAGGCGACGAUCUGUAGCUGGUUUGAGAGAACGACCAGCCACACUGGGACUGAGACACGGCCCAGACUCCGUACGGGAGGCAGCA
rnacentral:rRNA from 1 species